GACGAACGCUGGCGGCGUGCUUAACACAUGCAAGUCGAACGGAAAGGCCCUGCUUUUGUGGGGUGCUCGAGUGGCGAACGGGUGAGUAACACGUGAGUAACCUGCCCUUGACUUUGGGAUAACUUCAGGAAACUGGUGCUAAUACCGGAUAGGAGCUCCUGCUGCAUGGUGGUGGUUGGACAGUUUCGGCGGUUGGGGAUGGACUCGCGGCUUAUCAGCUUGUUGGUGGGGUAGUGGCUUACCAAGGCUUUGACGGGUAGCCCGCCUGAGAGGGUGACCGGCGACAUUGGGACUGAGAUACGGCCCAGACUCCUACGGGAGGCAGAAGUGGGGAAUAUUGCACAAUGGGCGGAAGCGUGAUGCAGAAACGCCGCGUGCGGGAUGACGGCCUUCGGGUUGUAAACCGCUUUCGCCUGUGACGAAGCGUGAGUGACGGUAAUGGGUAAAGAAGCACCGGCUAACUACGUG
rnacentral:rRNA from 1 species